rnacentral:rRNA from 1 species
UGGGGAAUCUUGGACAAUGGGGGCAACCCUGAUCCAGCCAUGCCGCGUGAGCGAUGAAGGCCUUAGGGUUGUAAAGCUCUUUCACCGGUGACGAUAAUGACGGUAGCCGGAGAAGAAGCCCCGGCUAACUCCGUGCCAGCAGCCGCGGUAAUACGGAGGGGGCUAGCGUUGUUCGGAAUUACUGGGCGUAAAGCGCGCGUAGGCGGGCUGUUAAGUCGGGGGUGAAAUCCCGGGGCUCAACCCCGGAACUGCCUUCGAUACUGGCAGCCUAGAGGUCUGGAGAGGUGAGUGGAAUGCCGAGUGUAGAGGUGAAAUUCGUAGAUAUUCGGCGGAACACCCGUGGCGAAGGCGGCUCACUGGCCAGAUACUGACGCUGAGGUGCGAAAGCGUGGGGAGCAAACAGGAUUAGAUACCCCCGUAGUCC